UUAACCUACAACAGUCACUGAGAACCUAAUGAAGACAGGUUCUCAGGGUAUGGGCAAAUUGGCUUUUCUUCUGUCUAAUUCAAGAGCUGCUUGCCCUUUGAAACUCUCCAGGCCUUUACUGAGAGGCUUACUACCCUGUACAAAUAUCCCGCUGUAUGGAGGAUGGGACAUCCAUGUCUCUUCACAAGCUCCCCCAGAGCCCACACACCUUGGAUGUGGGAAGUUUCCAUUCGCUGAUCAGCCACUUAAGACUGGAACCGGCUCAGAGCCGAGAGAGUAUUUGAACACCCGGAAGAAGCAAAGAACGCUGUCCGGACUGCUGCAGACAACGGCGAGUGCAGAUGUGUUCAUCAGGACAAAUGCUGCUGCAGGCACUGGGGGUGGCUUAAAGGUUAAGAGGAUUUGCUGGACCGUCAGGAGGAGCAGAGUUUGGACCUGAGCACACUUGUGACAAGCUGGGCGUCCUGCACAUACCUGUAACCCAAACUCUUAAUGGCAGCAGAGACUGGAGGUGUAGAAGAGACUGCCUCAAAGAAAUAGUCAGGGAAGAGGAGGGAGGGACCCUCAACUCCCGCUUCAGGCCUCCGAGCGUGUGCAGAAACACUCACAGGCUCAUGUUUAUAUUCCCAGACACAAACAAACACGUGAAUAACUGGAUAAAUAUGUCAUAAGUAUGUACACCACAUGUCUGCCUGGUAAUCAGGAAGGUUAGAGGAGGAAUCAGAGCUCCUGGAACUGCAGUUAGACAGCCCAGCAGGUGCUGGGA
rnacentral:lncRNA from 1 species